GCAGAGAUUCGUAUAGAGAAUGAAGCAAGGAGAGAAGCUGCGAUGGAAGAACGUUCUGGAGAACGGUAAGUAACCCUAACAGAGACCACAUUUGUGAUAAUAUCUCCAUUUCUGUGUGUUUUAGUGUUUUGGUUUGAUUGAGAAUUUGUUUGUGGAAAUUGGAAUUGAAGGGUUUGGGUUUUUAGGGUUCUUAUACGGUGCGUAAAAGGAGGAACAUGGCUAUGAUAAAAAAAAAAAAAAAAAACAUUGGGUUGGGCAUAUGGUAGAGUAGGCAAAAGUUAAAGGUAAAGAUGAUGAUGAAGCCGACCACUUUGCUUUAUGCUUUUUGCUUUGUUCGUUUGAAGAAGAUGUGUGAAUUGUGUGAUAAACUGAUAAUUGGGUUGUUAGGGUUUUAUGGACAUAGCCUUUGAGGUUAUACAUAAAUUGCCAUGCGUAUAGAAUCUCAGAUAAAUGCAGAUUUUUGUUUGCCAAAGGUCAGGUCUUUUGUUUUUGUUGCUUGUUAAUUUUCUGCUUUGGAAUUGUUGAACGGUUUGUUUGGUUCUUUUUGUGGGCUCAACAAAACCAAAAUCACACAAAAAAAUGCAAGGUUUUGAAAAUUGCUUACGUUUCAGCUUCAACCUUUUUAAUUGUUAUUAUGGACCAAAAGAAAAACUCAGUUGUUAUUUAUUUUUUCUUUUUGUUGCAUUGGUUUCUAUUUAUUGUAUGUAGUGAGAGCAUGGAUUUAAAUCGGAGUUUUCGUUGUGAUUCUCGAAAUUAAAGAAAAAAUACAGGGAAAUGUAGCUUUCAUGGUUGCAAUUUUGUUCUUCUUAUAAUUGUGGUAAAAAUUGUCUUACAUACUUCUUCCUUUUAUAUAUAUAUAUAUAUACACUCCUUCCUUUGAUAUGUGCUGCGAUUACUUCUUUUUUUUUUUCAAAAUAAAAAGCUGUCAUUAAGAAUAUAAGACAUAUCAAUGAUCUAUCCAUCAACUUUAAAAAAAAAAAAAAGCUGUCUUGCAUGCUCCUUCCAUGAGAAAUGGUAUACGUACACUCUUGUUUUUUCCAAUCUCUCACUUUUUUAUUAAGUUAUGGGAUAGUUUGUUAAAGCUUAUUUUUAAAAUUAGUACUUUUUAAAAAUAAAAUAAGUAGUUUUUUAGUUUUCUGAUGUAUUUGUUUAAACUGUUUUUAGUUAAAAUAAGCAAUUUUUUUAAGAAGAAAAUCAUAUCUCCUUUUUAAAAAGGCACUUAUAUAAAAAGUGUAUUUUUUUUUAAGUUUUAACAAAUUGGGCUUAUAUGAUAUAUCUACUCUUGAGAACAAAGGUUGUCCCCAUUGAUAAAAACAGGGUUCAUCUCCCACAAGAAAGUGAGCUCAAAUCUAGUUAUUGAUGUGAGGACCUUAUAAUCUACUUCUCUCUUUUAUCUCAUUUUUCUUUCUCAAAGUGUGAAAUAACAUGGAGGGUCUAUACUUCUUUAUCCUAUAGUAUAAAUUGUUUAUUCAGAUAAUAUAUAUGUCUGAAAUAAAUUUUAUUCAGAUAAAUUGUGAAAUAAAUUUUAAAUUCCAAUGAAUAGAUUAAUAAAUUGUUUAUUCAGAUAAUAUAUAUCUGAUUUUUCUUAGAUAAAGUAUGAGAUUGAGAUUUGUAUAUGAAAAAAACUCAUUGAAAGAGUUAGAGCCAAUAAGUGUUUUGGGCUCGAAUUGCCUAUGAUAUCCUGGAAAAGUUUACAAAAUAGGCUAUAAAUAUUCUCUAAAUAAGGCUUCAAUUUAGUAAAUUCAAAGAAAAAAAAAUCAUUAAGAGCGUUAGAGCCUAAUAUAAAAUGUUCUCAACUCCAAUCACCUCUUAUAAGAAAUACCCUUGGUCUUAGAACAAAAUGACAAAUCAACCAGAAUUAUUGAAAUAUAGACAAUUUACUCUCAUUAACAACAAUUGCUGAUAUAGCAGUUUAAUUUUCUUGUUCAAGGUUGCAUUAAACUUUAGGUAUAUUCAUCAAAAUUCAAUCAAUUUUUACAAGCAUCUUUUUUUUAAGUAGCAUCUGAUGCCCCAUAAUUGUACAAUGCACACGCGCCAACUAGCUUUAGUAAAGGUCUUGAAGAGAUAAUCCUCCAGCAGCAAUGAAUCACGGCGCAUGCAAACACCCGGGGUUUCUUAGGGAAUGGUAUGUAGUGGAUCUCGUUGAGUUGAAGCUGCUUUUGGUUCUUUCUUGACAAAUCACACUUUAUCUUUUUUUUCCUAUUGUUCUUGUAAUUUGUGCCUUCAGAGGUCAGAGAAUGUUCUUGUGAAUUAUUAUAACUCAUCAGUCACUCAUGAUGAGUGCCAAGUAGCAGAUGAUAAUGAGGGGAUGAUGAUAUUAUGUGCUACUGAUGAUUUUCAUGUUUUACCGCAGCACUAUGUCGGUUGAAAUUGGUACGGAGGAACCCACUAGAUUGAUUUUAUAUUCACUGUAUCUUUUGGCAUGGACCCAUUGAAUAAUUUUUUUAUUCAUUAGCUCUUCAUGUUUUUCUUAUUUUUCACCUUUGUACUUAUGGGUCGUAUAGACCAUUGCAAUUGAUGUUGAGGUUAGAUUUCAAUCCAAUAGUACAAAUAUGAAAAAUAUGUACCCAGCUAUAGAUUGUGACUGAAAAUGCCAAUUUGUUACUUAGUUGCUUAUUUGGUUGGGCACUUCUGUAUAUGCAUGGAACUUUUCAUUACAUUAUUUUAGGCUUUUACUUGUUGAGGUGGUGAAAGGGUCUAUGAGAUUGAGAUGCAUAUAGAUCUUAAAGUCAUGCAGAUGGUGGUGGUAUUCUUUUUUGUGCAUUACAUUUCUUUUAUAUCUUUACAUGCAUAUAUGCUUUUGAAACAAAGUUUCAUUUAUGCUUCUUUACAGAAAUUUGUCUAAAUCUCCUUUACUAAAGCAACGCAAUUUGCACCAUCAGAUCAAGAUCCUGUGGUGUUUGGCUGUCGUUCUUAUCUAAUCUUUGUUGCCCCUUCAAUGGUUUUAGGUAUCUGCUUAUAAAAUGGUUGAAAUUUUGAGAAAGGGAACACGGAAAGAGAAAAUAAAAGAAGGAGGAAAAGAAAAAGAGGCAUGUGUAUGGCACAUUAAAAGCCACGAAUAUGGAGAUGGGGCAAAAAUUUCAGUGUAGGUCAGCCUUGAGAGAAAGCCCUGCGUAAAUGGGGGUAUCAAGAAUAAAGCCACAAAGAGGUUCUCCAUGGAAUGUCAAUGAUCAAAUGUAUCAUAUUCCAUCUAUGCAAGAAGCAUAGCAAUGUUGACUCAUCAAGAAAAUAGAUAAAACUAUUAAGUAGAGCAGUGUUAUGACUGUAAUUCUUAGCAAAAAUUCGAAAUCUAAGUUCAUUUGGGUAAAUUUUCUCCAUUAACUAUGUAUAGGAGAAAAAAAAUAUUGAACUUCUCUGCAAGUUAAAAUAAACUUAUGCACCUAAGUGUUUUGGGCAAGUUAAAUGAAAAAGAUUGCUAUACAAAAUAAAAAUAUGUUAAAUUUUGCUUUUGUGAC
rnacentral:lncRNA from 1 species